CGGGUAGCUCAGUUGGUAGAGCAGGGGAUUGAAAAUCCCCGUGUCGGGGGUUCGAUUCCCUCCCCGGC
rnacentral:tRNA from 1 species